GCGCGGUGACAUUCGGGCAGCUUUGGGGACUUAAAAUCCCUAGCCGCAUGGCGUGCCGGUUCGAGUCCGGCCGCGGGUACCA
rnacentral:tRNA from 1 species